AACGUAGGACGCAAGCGUUAUCCGGAUUUACUGGGCGUAAAGAGCGUUGAGGCGGUUCCGUAAGUUGGACGUGAAAGCCCCUGGCCUAACUGGGGGAGGUCGUUCAAUACUGCGGAGCUUGAGGACAGCAGAGGGAGGUGGAAUUCCCGGUGUAGUGGUGAAAUGCGUAGAUAUCGGGAGGAACACCUGUGGCGAAAGCGGCCUCCUGGGCUGCUCCUGACGCUGAAGGCGAAAGCUAGGGUAGCGAACGGGAUUAGAAACCCUAGUAGUCC
rnacentral:rRNA from 1 species